rnacentral:rRNA from 1 species
UUAUACUGUCUCCUCUCUCCAAUCAGUGAAACUGAUCUCCCCGUGAAGAAGCGGGGAUUCAAUUAUAAGACGAGAAGACCCCAUGGAGCUUUAAACCCAAUUUGCACCCCUACCACCCCAAACAUCAACCAAACCUCAGGGGCCUGUACAUUGGUUUUAGGUUGGGGGGACCACGGAGCAAAAUAAAACCUCCAUAACAAAUGGGCUAACACCCUUACCUGCGAUUUACAAAUCCAAGAAUCAUUAAAAUGAUGUUUAAUGACCCAAUAAGUUGAUCAAUGAACCAAGUUACCCUGGGGAUAACAGCGCAAUCCACUCCAAGAGCCCGUAUCGACAAGUGGGUUUACGACCUCGAUGUUGGAUCAGGGUAUCCCAGUGGUGCAGCCGCUACUAAGGGUUCGUUUGUUCAACGAUUAAAACCCUACGUGAUCUGAGUUCAGACCGG